rnacentral:rRNA from 1 species
GACGAACGCUGGCGGCGUGCCUAAUACAUGCAAGUCGAACGCAGUGGGGACGGGUGAGUAACACGUGGGUAACCUCCCAUCAGAGGGGAUAACACUUGGAAACAGGUGCUAAACCGAUACUGAUCUCUGUUCCCGCGGUUCAUUAGCUAGUUGGUGGGGUAAGGGCUCACCAAGGCCACGAUGCAUAGCCGAGCUGGGAGGGUGAUCGGCCACACUGGGACUGAGACACGGCCCAGACGCCGACGGGAGGCAGGAGUAGGGAAUCGUCGGCAAGGGACGAAAGUCUGACCGAGCAACGCCGCGUGAGUGAAGAAGGUUUUCGGAGCGUAAAACGCUGUUGUUAGAGAAGCGGUAUCUAACCAGAAAGCCACGGCUAACUACGUGCCAGCAGCCGCGGUAAUAC